rnacentral:rRNA from 1 species
GCAGUCGAGCGGUAGAGAGGUGCUUGCACCUCUUGAGAGCGGCGGACGGGUGAGUAAAGCCUAGGAAUCUGCCUGGUAGUGGGGGAUAACGCUCGGAAACGGACGCUAAUACCGCAUACGUCCUACGGGAGAAAGCAGGGGACCUUCGGGCCUUGCGCUAUCAGAUGAGCCUAGGUCGGAUUAGCUAGUUGGUGAGGUAAUGGCUCACCAAGGCGACGAUCCGUAACUGGUCUGAGAGGAUGAUCAGUCACACUGGAACUGAGACACGGUCCAGACUCCUACGGGAGGCAGCAGUGGGGAAUAUUGGACAAUGGGCGAAAGCCUGAUCCAGCCAUGCCGCGUGUGUGAAGAAGGUCUUCGGAUUGUAAAGCACUUUAAGUUGGGAGGAAGGGCAUUAACCUAAUACGUUAGUGUUUUGACGUUACCGACAGAAUAAGCACCGGCUAACUCUGUGCCAGCAGCCGCGGUAAUACAGAGGGUGCAAGCGUUAAUCGGAAUUACUGGGCGUAAAGCGCGCGUAGGUGGUUCGUUAAGUUGGAUGUGAAAUCCCCGGGCUCAACCUGGGAACUGCAUUCAAAACUGUCGAGCUAGAGUAUGGUAGAGGGUGGUGGAAUUUCCUGUGUAGCGGUGAAAUGCGUAGAUAUAG